UGAGGAAUAUUGGUCAAUGGACGAGAGUCUGAACCAGCCAAGUAGCGUGCAGGAUGACGGCCCUAUGGGUUGUAAACUGCUUUUGUUUGGGAAUAAUCGACAUUACGUGUAAUGUUUUGCAUGUACCAUUCGAAUAAGUAUCGGCUAACUCCGUGCCAGCAGCCGCGGUAAUACGGAGGAUACGAGCGUUAUCCGGAUUUAUUGGGUUUAAAGGGUGCGUAGGUGGCUGAUUAAGUCAGUGGUGAAAAGCUAUGGCUCAACCAUAGUCUUGCCGUUGAUACUGGUUAGCUUGAGUGUAGAUGAUGUAGGCGGAACGUGUAGUGUAGCGGUGAAAUGCAUAGAUAUUACGCAGAACUCCGAUUGCGAAGGCAGCUUACAAAACUACUACUGACACUGAGGCACGAAAGCGUGGGUAUCAAACAGG
rnacentral:rRNA from 1 species